rnacentral:rRNA from 1 species
GCACGAAUGGCAUAAUGAUGGCGGCGCUGUCUCCAGCAGAGACUCAGUGAAAUCGAAAUCGCAGUGAAGAUGCUGUGUACCCGCGGCUAGACGGAAAGACCCCGUGAACCUUUACUACAGCUUUACAUUGAACUUUGACCUUACCUGUGUAGGAUAGGUGGGAGGCUUUGAAGCAGGCACGCCAGUGUCUGUGGAGCCAUCCUUGAAAUACCACCCUGGUAAUGUUGGGGUUCUAACUCAAGCUUAACAGAGCUGAGGACAAUGUAUGGUGGGUAGUUUGACUGGGGCGGUCUCCUCCUAAAGAGUAACGGAGGAGUACGAAGGUGCGCUCAGAACGGUCGGAAAUCGUUCGAAGAGUAUAAAGGCAAAAGCGCGCUUAACUGCGAGACCCACAAGUCGAGCAGAUACGAAAGUAGGUCUUAGUGAUCCGGUGGUUCUGUAUGGAAGGGCCAUCGCUCAACGGAUAAAAGGUACUCUGGGGAUAACAGGCUGAUACCGCCCAAGAGUUCAUAUCGACGGCGGUGUUUGGCACCUCGAUGUCGGCUCAUCUCAUCCUGGGGCUGAAGCAGGUCCCAAGGGUAUGGCUGUUCGCCAUUUAAAGAGGUACGCGAGCUGGGUUUAGAACGUCGUGAGACAGUUCGGUCCCUAUCUACCGUGGGCGUUGGAAAUUUGAGAGGAUCUGCUCCUAGUACGAGAGGACCAGAGUGGACGAACCUCUGGUGUUUCGGUUGUGACGCCAGUCGCAUUGCCGAGUAGCUAUGUUCGGAUGGGAUAACCGCUGAAAGCAUCUAAGCGGGAAGCCCACCUUAAGAUUAGAUUUCCCUAAAGAGCCGUUGUAGACUACGACGUUGAUAGGUUGGGUGUGGAAGCAUAGUGAUAUGUGUAGCUAACCAAUACUAAUUGCUCGUUUGGCUUGACUAUACAACGCCUAA